rnacentral:lncRNA from 1 species
UUUAACUAACAUAUGGUACUGGUUGUCACAUACAUAUAGUUCAUGUGGUCUAAGCAUAAUCACGGAGACAUCAUACAUCAGGUGCACCAAAACAUUUUUCAUUCCAUUAACUAAUAGUCGCAUACAUACACUUCGUUCUGUUCUAAACAUAACCACCAAUACACCAUACAUCAAGUUCAACAAAGGACAGCUAAAAGACAGCAAGUAUGAGACAUCAGUUGUACAAAAUGAGAAGUAAAACAUUCAGUUGAUGUGGAUCGCUGGCUUCAUGGUUCAUUGUGAGUCGAGUCAUUAUGUUUGCUUCCUACAAAAGUUAAACAAGCCCACCUUAUUAGAAUGCUCAAUUAAUUUAUGAAAUUGAAUGCAGGCAGAAUUCACAUGUGCACCGUGCACACGCAAUGGCAGAAAGAAGAAUACAAUUACCUAAUCUACAAAACUAGCAUUUCUGGUCAUGAAGACCACCAAUCAACAUCCAGUAGUAGCCAUGGAUGUGGCAUAAAAGCCCUCUGUCCACGUUUUGUCUAUCCAUUUGAAAGGAAAUGCAUCGUUUACUUUGUACGAUUGCUGAUAAUAUAGUGUGUUGGGGAUAUACUCAAGUUACUGUACAUAGGUACUAGCAGCCAAUAUUCCAACACUUGUUUCCAAAAAAUAAACAAACAACUUUAUAGAUAGUGGAUAAAAUGAGCCGGAAGCUAAAUAAAUAUAAAUGUGACUCUUUCACUAGAUGUACAGUUUUCUAGUAGUUCACACUAGACAUAGCUACCUGAUAGCUAAUUAUAGAUGUGACUCUUUCUGAAUGCCCAAAAGUAUCGUCUUAGCUCCUAAAAGUUACGCGUAAGAAGAAAAGAGGCUUCAACACCAAAGUAGAUUAACCUGGUAUCCCUUCCAAGGUAGGCGGACAGAGACUAGUAUUUAGGUCUGACCUGAAUACACCAUGGUAAUUGAAACAUUAGUAUUGGACUAUAUACUCUGUUGAAUUCGUCCCAAAAUGGUAAAAUUUCAGAUUGUAUAAUCAAAGCCAUGAACAAAAUCCAUCAAAAUCAGGCAUUUACAGCAAGUAGGCUGGAACCAAUAUACUAAUAUUCCAGAUUGUACCCUAUUUUUUAGAAAGAAAUAAAUUUACACAAAAACAACAGCGAAAAACAAUCAUUUGACUAUCCUACUAUAAGUGAACGACAAUGUAACUACUACAUUGUAGUAACAUUCGCCAUACUUUGGUUAGACAAAUAGAGGACAACAUCCAUGUAAACCACCUUUCUAAGAGCAUUUCCAUGUUAUGGACCUGGAUGAUCUAUGAUCAUUUAGUUAUAUGCUCCAGGAACUAAUUAAGUUCUGCAUUUUUUUGCUGAUAUUCAGAUCUGCUAUAUUUUUAUACCUUCAUAUCCAAAACCAUCUACUUUCUUGUCUAAGUGCCCCUGACAUGGCAGAGGCAAGAAUAUAUUUGGCGCUUUUGUUUUUUGUAAAAAUGGAAAAAAUAUAGGAAUACAGUAGAGCGACUACAGAAACUUUGACAGUUCCUCAUAUCCACAACCCUUUUACUCAAGGAGAAAGGGGAACAUAAUGCAAGGAAUGCAACCGCAGCACUUGGACAGUAGUAAUUAGAAGACUGUAGGAAAGUAUAUUAGAGUUUCCUGUUUAAUGUAACCCAAUUUUCUCUUUGCUUAUUUCUUGGAUGAACAUUCAGACAUACCAGCCGUACAAUUUACUGUGGUAGUUUCAGAUUAACACCUGAGAUUAGUAUGCCAUGAUAUUAACAGCAAAUGGCCAGGAAUGACAUAUAUGCCAUAAUUUAUAUAUAUUGCCCAUGGUCUACAUAGGAGGAGGAGCAGCAGAAAUAGCUAGUGAGUAUCAAGGAACUUUAUUAAAGGAUAACCAAAUUACCUGAUAAAUUUCAUUGAAAGAGACAAGAAAUAGGCCAAAGACACAACUUUUCCUUUUAUGAAUGUACAUAUAUAAUAUCAGUAUAAUCUCAUGUUUUUGUUUGCCCUAGAAUGUAUUAUUGCUAAACAAGCAUGAUCCUCAGGGAUAAUUAUACCACAUCUGUAUAUUUGAUCCUGCAGGGACGAUUUAAUAGCCAAACAAAGCAUAAUAACCCACCUUUCACGAUUCCAGGCAUAAUUCGCAUCCCCUUGAAUAGUGGCAUUCGUGGUUAGUAUUGUUUCCACCCUUCAUUUGCUGGGCAGUGUUUUAAAUGUUCGCCUACAAGGUUUUACAUGUGGUGUCACAUUUUCCAUACAAGAAUAACUAUUAGAAAUCAAAAUCUUAAAUAAACAAGUUGAACACAAGUUGUUAUUUGUCAAGGAAGACCAAGCAUUCAUCUUCUCUCACCUUAAUAGCCAAUUCAACAAAGAAAAAUAUGGUGUUCCAUAGAGCAGAUGCUUACCAUCUCUCACCCAGUAGCAUGGUUCAGCUCAACACUAAAUUUCAUUUAUUUCAGAGAAGCGCAGAUGUAAAACAUAUCUAAAUAACAGAUUGAGGCCCCCUUUCUUUAUUGUACACUUAACUCAAUCAAGCAUGUAAGCAAGACACUAACCCAGGAAGGAAUCAAAUUGUACCGCACUAGCAGUACAUGGUCAUGAACAACACAAUUAAUUGGAUUAUGAUUACCAUAAGAAAUAUCUAGAAGUUAAAUCAUAGGGUGAAUAGGCUUUGAUGGCUGCAAUGGAAAUUUCAAAGCUUUAAAAGAGACUGUACUACACAAAACUGCUAGUUCAGAUGUCACAUGUAGGCGAAAACUCUUGCAAUACUAAAGUAAUCUACUUCAGCAAUCAACAUGCAUGAUCUAUGUUUAAGGAAAAUCCAAAAUGUGAGAAGGGAGUGUAUACAUUAAUUGCAUCCACACAUAAGGAGGGCCUCGAUACAUGCAUGGGGAGCAGAAACUCACCGAAGCGGUUGCAACAAGCACGUUAGAUGGGUAAUGACUUGAAGAUAAACGCCCACGGUGUAGCUAGUUUUCUGAAGAAAAAAAUCACAUAAGAACCAAAGCCUAAACAAAAUAUUCAGUACUUGUUCACAAACUGCAUUGGCUGGGAGCUACUAGGAAUAAACUAGGAUAUCAUAUUAGAAAAGCUUAGAGAAGCUCUGUUAAGAGAAAAAGUACAUAUUGUUCUUUAUUGUUCAGUACAUAUUGUUCUUUAGCUCUAAUAAAUAACCAUCAAAAUACGGUCUAACAACUUCAAUAAAUCUAGCAGCCAAAUUAGUUAUAGACAAAGCAUUACCUAAUAUAUAACCAUCAAACUUCAGUCUAACAACUUCAAAAAAAUCUAGCAGCCAAAUUAGUUAUAGACAAAGCAUUACGUGGACAUUGAGCUCGUCAAUUUUAUUAAAAAGAUAUGUUUGCUAGCCACCAUUUCCUGCUCUUUUAUCAUUUUAGGUAUUCACGUAAGUUUUGAAAAGUGCCAGGCUCCAAGCUACUAAAUCACAACACCAUAUACUGAAACAAAGAAAAAAGAGCGUUGACACACCACAUCUUAUGAACAAAAUUCUUCUAAAACUGAAAUUAGUUCGAGUCAUAUACCAACAAAUCUGACAUAAUGUUUUCUAAACAGAAAACAAACACAUACGGUGCACUAAAUCACAGACGAAGAAACAUAAUGUUGAAGGAUUUUUCAGAGAGUUGCCUCACCAGUCAUUGCACAGUUGCACAAACAACACACAUCUUUUGACAUCCACAUAUAAGGAGGUCGUCAGGACUUGGGGCAGAGAAACUCAC